rnacentral:rRNA from 1 species
AGUCGAGGGGUAUACUUCUUCGGAUAGAGAGACCGGCGCACGGGUGCGUAACGCGUAUGCAAUCUACCUUUUACAGAGGGAUAGCCCAGAGAAAUUUGGAUUAAUACCUCAUAGUAUAUAGACUCGGCAUCGAGAUUAUAUUAAAGUCACAACGGUAAAAGAUGAGCAUGCGUCCCAUUAGCUAGUUGGUAAGGUAACGGCUUACCAAGGCUACGAUGGGUAGGGGUCCUGAGAGGGAGAUCCCCCACACUGGUACUGAGACACGGACCAGACUCCUACGGGAGGCAGCAGUGAGGAAUAUUGGACAAUGGGCGCAAGCCUGAUCCAGCCAUGCCGCGUGCAGGAUGACGGUCCUAUGGAUUGUAAACUGCUUUUAUACGAGAAGAAACAUCCCGACGUGUCGGGACUUGACGGUAUCGUAAGAAUAAGGAUCGGCUAACUCCGUGCCAGCAGCCGCGGUAAUACGGAGGAUCCAAGCGUUAUCCGGAAUCAUUGGGUUUAAAGGGUCCGUAGGCGGUUUAAUAAGUCAGUGGUGAAAGCCCAUCGCUCAACGGUGGAACGGCCAUUGAUACUGUUAGACUUGAAUUAUUAGGAAGUAACUAGAAUAUGUAGUGUAGCGGUGAAAUGCUUAGAGAUUACAUGGAAUACCAAUUGCGAAGGCAGGUUACUACUAAUUGAUUGACGCUGAUGGACGAAAGCGUGGGUAGCGAACAGGAUUAGAUACCCUGGUAGUCCACGCCGUAAACGAUGGAUACUAGCUGUUGGAAGCAAUUUCAGUGGCUAAGCGAAAGUGAUAAGUAUCCCACCUGGGGAGUACGUUCGCAAGAAUGAAACUCAAAGGAAUUGACGGGGGCCCGCACAAGCGGUGGAGCAUGUGGUUUAAUUCGAUGAUACGCGAGGAACCUUACCAAGGCUUAAAUGUAGAUUGACCGGUUUGGAAACAGAUCUUUCGCAAGACAAUUUACAAGGUGCUGCAUGGUUGUCGUCAGCUCGUGCCGUGAGGUGUCAGGUUAAGUCCUAUAACG